GAUGAACGCUGGCGGCGUGCCUAAUACAUGCAAGUCGAGCGAAUGGAUUAAGAGCUUGCUCUUAUGAAGUUAGCGGCGGACGGGUGAGUAACACGUGGGUAACCUGCCCAUAAGACUGGGAUAACUCCGGGAAACCGGGGCUAAUACCGGAUAAUAUUUUGAACUGCAUGGUUCAAAAUUGAAAGGCGGCUUCGGGUGUCACUUAUGGAUGGACCCGCGUCGCAUUAGCGAGGUGGUGAGGUAACGGCUCACAAAGGCAACGAUGCGUAGCCGACCUGAGAGGGUGAUCGGCCACACUGGGACUGAGACACGGCCCAGACUCCUACGGGAGGCAGCAGUAGGGAAUCUUCCGCAAUGGACGAAAGUCUGACGGAGCAACGCCGCGUGAGUGAUGAAGGCUUUCGGGUCGUAAGACUCUGUUGUUAGGGAAGAACAAGUGCUAGUUGAAUAAGCUGGCACCUUGACGGUACCUAACCAGAAAGCCACGGCUAACUACGUGCCAGCAGCCGCCGUAA
rnacentral:rRNA from 1 species